AUACGUAAGGUGCGAGCGUUGUUCGGAUUGACUGGGCGUAAAGAGCACGUAGGUGGAUGUGUAAGUCGAAUGUGAAAGCCCAGGGCUUAACCUUGGAACUGCAUUCGAAACUACAUUUCUUGAAUACUUGAGAGGUUGGCGGAAUUCCAGGUGUAGGAGUGAAAUCCGUAGAUAUCUGGAGGAACAUCAGAGGCGAAGGCGGCCAACUGUCAAUGUAUUGACGCUAAGGUGCGAAAGCGUGGGGAGCAAACAGGAUUAGAAACCCGAGUAGUCC
rnacentral:rRNA from 1 species